rnacentral:rRNA from 1 species
AUUGAACGCUGGCGGCAGGCCUAACACAUGCAAGUCGAGCGGAUGAAGGGAGCCUGCUCCUGGAUUCAGCGGCGGACGGGUGAGUAAUGCCUAGGAAUCUGCCUGGUAGUGGGGGAUAACGUCCGGAAACGGGCGCUAAUACCGCAUACGUCCUGAGGGAGAAAGUGGGGGAUCUUCGGACCUCACGCUAUCAGAUGAGCCUAGGUCGGAUUAGCUAGUUGGUGGGGUAAAGGCCUACCAAGGCGACGAUCCGUAACUGGUCUGAGAGGAUGAUCAGUCACACUGGAACUGAGGCACGGUCCAGACUCCUACGGGAGGCAGCAGUGGGGAAUAUUGGACAAUGGGCGAAAGCCUGAUCCAGCCAUGCCGCGUGUGUGAAGAAGGUCUUCGGAUUGUAAAGCACUUUAAGUUGGGAGGAAGGGCAGUAAGUUAAUACCUUGCUGUUUUGACGUUACCAACAGAAUAAGCACCGGCUAACUUCGUG